UACGUAGGGUCCGAGCGUUGUCCGGAAUUAUUGGGCGUAAAGGGCGCGUAGGCGGUUUGUUAAGUCGGCUGUGAAAAGCCCGGGGCUCAACCCCGGAGGGUCAGCCGAUACUGGCAGACUAGAGUACGGAAGAGGUAGCUGGAAUUCCCGGUGUAGCGGUGAAAUGCGUAGAUAUCUGGAGGAAUACCGGUGGCGAAGGCGGCUACCUGGACCGGAACUGACGCUGAUGCGCGAAAGCGUGGGUAGCAAACAGGG
rnacentral:rRNA from 1 species